GCACCCUAAAAUUUAACGGAUCUAAAUAAUAUACCGAGACCUUGUCCAUAAAAUAUUGUUAUGUACAAGUUACAUAGAAUAUAUAUGGGGUAGCGGAACAUUGGGCAUAUCUCAGAUUUUUUCUUUUUAAGACUUAAGAUUAGAUUACCCCAGUGAUAAUGCUGACAUGAGUAACGAUAAAGGGUUUAUACCCUUCCCUAAAGCUUAUGGAAUUUACUUAAAGUAACGGCCUCUUAGUUUAAAUUUGCUUUACUUUACUGGGUUUUUUAGCUCUAAUUAAAAACGUGAUAAAGUAAAGUUACCUAAUGGUAUAAACGAUGAGAAAAAUUUUUUUUUUUUAUAAAAAAUCUAAGUUUUACGGUAAAUAAGAAUGGAUACUUAUGGAAACACAUUGAACGCGUAAAGUUGAAAAGUGUGUUUAAGUUUUCUCUAAAGAAAAAAAAUAUUUAGUGGGUUUUGACUAAACACACUAUAUAAAUAAAAACAGCAUUUGUGUUGGUAUACUAGAGCUAGGGUACCUGUUAAAAUAGUAACUGAAAGUAAGGUGAUAGUUACUAACUAAAGUGACAAAUGCUCUGGAAAAACGUAAAACUAGCAUGCUUAAUUAGAGUAUAGACGAGGCGGAUCGUCCCUUGUCUAUAAAAAGCUUAU
rnacentral:rRNA from 1 species